rnacentral:rRNA from 1 species
AGUGAACGCUGGCAGUAGGCCUAACACAUGCAAGUCGAACGGCAGCACAGUAAGAGCUUGCUCUUACGGGUGGCGAGUGGCGGACGGGUGAGGAAUACAUCGGAAUCUACUUUUUCGUGGGGGAUAACGUAGGGAAACUUACGCUAAUACCGCAUACGACCUACGGGUGAAAGCAGGGGAUCUUCGGACCUUGCGCGAUUGAAUGAGCCGAUGUCGGAUUAGCUAGUUGGCGGGGUAAAGGCCCACCAAGGCGACGAUCCGUAGCUGGUCUGAGAGGGUGACCAGGCCCCCUGGAACUGAGAAACGGCCCAGACUCCGACGGGAGGCAGUAGAGGGGGCACUGGGCAAUGGAGCUCAAUCCCGACCUAGCCAUACCGCGUCGGUGACGAAGGUGUUCGGGUUGGAAAGCCCUUGUGGUGAGAAAGAAAAGCAGAAGGUGAAAAUCUCGAUGUUCGGAGGGGACCCAAAGAAUAAGGAAGGGCUAACUUCGGG